ensembl:lncRNA
GGCCUCAGGCACUCCUGCAUUUCCUGGGCUGAGGGGUAGGUGUUCUCAACGUUUAGUUUGCCAGCCUAACGCACAUGCUUCCUGCUGAUGGUAACAGGUGUGAGUGAGCCCUUCACACACCUGCGCUUUGUGUGUGUGUCUCUGCUCUCAGUUUCUUAAUAGUGAAUGCUGUUAAAAAUAGGCACAAAAUGGAAGUUUCCCCAGGAUGGAAAACAAAAGGGGAAGUGCUCCUGUAAUUGGGAGCACAGGGGGCCCCGCCAGAAGGACCCCCGCCUCAGCAUCACUGCCUUAACCAUGGCCUCCCCUCCCUCUCUCUGGGGUGGGAGGGAGUUCCUAUCCCCAUCUUUGUUUUCCCUGGAGGCAGGUGUCACAAAGCAUCAGUAAACUGCUUCAGGUGCGAGAACACCACCCACUCAGGAGUGACCCCUGUUAUCCUUUUCAAUUUCCACCCACUAGCCAGUUUGCUUACACCAGGUGGUGAGGCAGCAGCUUGGUGUUCUGACGGGCUAGCAUCUUUCCCUGGUAUUGUGACACCACCUCCCUUCCUUGUCCCAAGGUUGUGAGGCCUUGUCUUUACCUUUGGUGUCACAUGAGUGGAACAGGGUCCGCAAAGCCCAGUGUGGUCAUUUCCCCGACAUCAUUCCCUGGUGCCUGCGGGAUCCUGCCGCACGCAGGUGGGGCCAGGGGUCUUGCCAAGAACAAUGUCUCCAGAAGGAAAAUGGGAGCUUCUGAUUCGAAGGCCCUGGCAGCUAGGCCUCUCUCCCAAGCCACACCCUGAGGGUUAGCCCUUGGGCCAAACCAUCUGCCAUGGAGUCCAGCCAAGCUUUUCUGGCUAAAUAAGCAAUAAGAGGCUCUAAGCUGAUUCAGUUCCUAGGACCCUUUCUGUCUUCCUUUGACUCUCCUUGUCUCCAGGUGAAGGAAGAGCCUGUGCCACCCGCUUUCCUAUUAGGCUUGUCCAAGUGUUCCAAGGGACUCAUGUCCAGAGCCCAGGGUAAUGUGGUGGGAAUGUCCCCGCUGCUUCUGCAUGAAGCCCUGCUCUACAGGCCUGGUUUCUGCCAGAACCCUGCCCCCUGCCCCCUGCACUUCCUCACCAGAAAUGCCACAUUCCCUCUCACUCCCUCCUCCCUUCCCCAGAGAAGCAGACUCAAUUUUGGAGGAGGGUGAGAUUGAGAGGGAACCAGUUCACCCCAGGUUCUGUUCUGGGGUUUCCCACCAACCCUUCCUGUUUGAGGCUGGUCUCUGGGAAGCAGUAGGCCACCGUGCCUGGUCAGCCCCAAUUCAAGCCAUGCCAGGAAUCUGCCCACCUGCCAGGUUCAGUUCUAUAAGGUGCCUCUUCAGGGACACAGUGUGUCUCUCUGAUUGGGCUUCUAAAUCAAAAGCCUGAUGUUCGUGUCCCUCUCAUAGGGGGAGCUUUGGACACAGGACCAGUUUGGACAGGGUCAAGGAAGAGUUUCCACUCUGCACAUUGUAGAGAGGACACUCUGUAGGCCCAUGGGUCCCUUACUAUAGAGGUUGAGUAAACUUGCCUUCAGUUAACCUGGGACCUCCUGUUUAUUUCUCUUUUGCCUCCCAAAGAUUUUGACCAUUUUAUAAGUGUAUGAAUUCACCUCUGUUAACAGUGGCCUAGAAGCUUCUUUGUGCUAGAAGCAUGGGUAAUCUAAAGGCAUUCCCGUGGAAAUGGAGCUUAUUCUAUUUUGCUACCCUUAACCCUGUUCCUGAGGCCUCACUCAGUAAGGCAACCCCCUUGGAAGGCUGUCCUGCAUCCCAAGUCCCAGCCAGGUCAAGUGUCUGAGGAAGGUAAGCCUGUUUGCCCCUUCAGGUCCUCAGCUGGUUACUUACCACUGUUGUCCUUCAGUUACCUUUUUUGUAAAAUGGGGUUUUAAGUUUUGUCCUUUUUUUUUUUAAUGCUGGUAAGUACUUGCAUUCAAGCAGGGGAGGGGAAGCGGAGGUCUGGCCCCUACCCCAUUCCUUUAAUGCUGUGGGGACCUGCCUCUUGAGCUGACCCUUCUCUUUGAGCCCCAGGAACUUCUUUGCUUGUAGUUUCUCCAGCCUGACAUGUCCCAUGUCGUGCCACUUUCAAGAUGCCGCUUGGAGGGUGGGGGAGAUCUACUUCCCUCUGUGACUGGGCUAUGGGGUUCUGACUACCUUGCUUACAGAUUCAUGGUUUGAUAAAUUUGUUGUAUUCAAAAACUUGAAAUAUAGGACGCCAUUAAGUGUCUGUUUAUAUUUUUGGAAUAUUUGUAUUACUUACAAUUAAUUAAUAAAAGUGGGUUUAAAAAACCCA